CAGAGGGAGAGAGGGGUUCUCUAUCUCUCCUCGGGCACGGAGGGUCGGUCUCGUCAAAUGGUCCCACAGCCAGGAAGGUCUCAUCAGAUGGUCCCACAGCCAGUAGCCUUCACAGCCCCGUUGGGCUAUGGCAGAGAUCUCCCCUUGCGCCGGGAGGGUAAGGCUGUAGGUAUCUGUAGAGUGUUGGAGAGAGGAUGUCCUAAUAUUUCUAA